GUCGCGCUCUGCGAUCUACAUAUUUGGCAUUGUCUAUUUCCGGUGCAUGCUGACGCAUGCACGCUUGUAGAGUCGCGCUCUGCGAUCUACAUAUUUGGCAUUGUCUAUUUCCGGUGCAUGCUGACGCAUGCACGCUGUUCUAGAACAUUCUGAUGUGCAGUAAGAAAGUAUAUAAGCAGUUCAAGGCUGCUGUUAGACCUUGGGAGUUGCAUGAGUUUAGAUCUAUGUAUCAGAAGAUCAAGAUGAGUAAAGAUACCGGUAUCCAGUCAGACGCAGACGCUUCGUUUACGUGCAGUAGUUUAGACAGACAGUACAGCACUUCCCCUGACCACUCUGAGCCCUUCACAUCUGUAGCCCCCUCCGGAGGAUAGAACAUCUGCCAGCAGAGUCUCUCUUUACUUCUGUCAUCAACUUCAUCGAAAUCGUCUCUACAAAUUUCUCACAAGCAGCUCGGCAAAUUCUUGAAAUUUUUUUUCUCAACAGAGACUUAAUUCUGUGCACCAAACUUGGAUGACCUUUCUACGAGGUGCUCAUACCCUCGCCUCAUCUCAUCUCCUCAAGGAAAUUUAGCCACGUCGCGGUACAACAGAUUUGGAGUCUACACCAGUUGCAAUUUUAACUGAAAUUCCCUUGCGGAUCAGUUUUCCUGUUCGGGAGGUUUUCCUGGUUUUACUCACGAAUUGGACUGUCGAUUCGGAAUGGAAUUGAUUAAUUUUUUUUACUAACUUUACAAAGUAUUAAUAACAAAAUAUUGAAAACUAAUCAAGAUCGAGGACGAUCUUCUUUUGAAAGGAGAGCAAUGUAGAGUCGCGCUCUGCGAUCUACAUAUUUGGCAUUGUCUAUUUCCGGUGCAUGCUGACGCAUGCACGCUUGUAGAGUCGCGCUCUGCGAUCUACAUAUUUGGCAUUGUCUAUUUCCGGUGCAUGCUGACGCAUGCACGCUGUUCUAGAACAUUCUGAUGUGCAGUAAGAAAGUAUAUAAGCAGUUCAAGGCUGCUGUUAGACCUUGGGAGUUGCAUGAGUUUAGAUCUAUGUAUCAGAAGAUCAAGAUGAGUAAAGAUACCGGUAUCCAGUCAGACGCAGACGCUUCGUUUACGUGCAGUAGUUUAGACAGACAGUACAGCACUUCCCCUGACCACUCUGAGCCCUUCACAAUAUUAACUGCUAUGACCGUUACGAAUGGUUCCCGAGGCAAACGGUACGUACAAAAUCAAUGCGAAAGCCGACAAUUUCGUAGUAUUCGUAGUAUUGUAAUUGCAUGAGCGUCACUAUCAUCUUUAAUCCUCAAUGCAAAUUUCUCCUGUAAGCAAGGAAGUUACAGAACAUUAAAUCGUAAAAACGCAUUCUUACGGCUUAAAUGAGCUUAACCUGAGCAGUUCCCGUUACCUUUACUUCAUAAUGACUUGCGGUUUGAAAACCUUUAUUUAACUCUCUGUAUAUAAUUAGCGUAGCUUUGGCAUAUUAUUGUGCCGAUCUAUCUCACACGAAAAUCGGUCCAAGGCAGUAUUUUCGAUAAGAGCCCACUAUGCCGCAUAGUGUGCCGCAAAGUAUCCGGCACACUACGCGGCUUACUAUGCCGCUUAGCGAAAUAUUUUAUCAAUUCCGAUUGGCUCUCUCACAAGUGCGCCUGCCAUGCACUGCCCACUUAAACUUUCGUACGUACAGAUCUACAGCGCGCUGCGUGCACCAGCUACUCCAGUCUGCAAUGCCCGUGGCAACUGCAACGUCUGCUAAAACUUAGAAACUUUUUGAGUUUUCCUAUAAACAAAUUAGACACACAGGAGUAGUGGAUUUCCCUUUAUAUCUGCUGUCAAUGUUAAAAUUACAUGGUUUUGUACGACCAUCGGGAAUUCCUGUCAGUUUGCAAUGCUUUACGAGAAUCAUUGCAAUUCUGCUUUGGGACUUCAUUUGCUAACAAGUGUGGAACUCGUAUCCAUCGCUUUAUCCUGUUAUGAUGUAACCUGCAACGUCGCCGUUCGAUUUUCAACGGAAGCAAUCCCCGAAG